rnacentral:rRNA from 1 species
GAUGAACGCUGGCGGCGUGCUUAACACAUGCAAGUCGAACGGUGAACACGGAGCUUGCUCUGUGGGAUCAGUGGCGAACGGGUGAGUAACACGUGAGCAACCUGCCCCUGACUCUGGGAUAAGCGCUGGAAACGGCGUCUAAUACUGGAUAUGUGACGUGACCGCAUGGUCUGCGUUUGGAAAGAUUUUUCGGUUGGGGAUGGGCUCGCGGCUUAUCAGCUUGUUGGUGAGGUAAUGGCUCACCAAGGCGUCGACGGGUAGCCGGCCUGAGAGGGUGACCGGCCACACUGGGACUGAGACACGGCCCAGACUCCUACGGGAGGCAGCAGUGGGGAAUAUUGCACAAUGGGCGCAAGCCUGAUGCAGCAACGCCGCGUGAGGGAUGACGGCCUUCGGGUUGUAAACCUCUUUUGGCAGGGAAGAAGCGAAAGUGACGGUACCUGCAGAAAAAGCGCCGGCUAACUACGUG